ensembl:snoRNA
UGGCAUGUCCAACAGGCAUUCUGCUUCUCUUUAAAGAGCAUGGAUUUAUCCACACCAUGCAACAUGAAUGAAAGGAGAAGUUUCCGAGGCUGCCAACCUUUCCAUUGAGGUUUUGCAGUAGUAUAUUUCUUCUACAAUA